GCUGAAGUAGCUCAGUUGGUAGAGCUGUUCCCUUGUAAGGAACUGGCCAGGGGUUCGAAUCCUCUCUUCAGCU
rnacentral:tRNA from 1 species